GACACUCGGUUCAGUGCUUUCAAGAAAACGAUGAAGCUCCAAAUUUAAAACUAUUCUGGAAAAAAAAAACAUUUUUCGACCUAUAAUCAAUCAGGUAUGAUGCCUGUCCAAAUAGUCCUGGUUUUGGCAGCAUACAAGUUGAUCAGGCUGUGCAUAGCUAAUUUCUUCUGAACAUUUUGUAAGAUUCCAGCUAUGGGUCCUAGAUUUCCCCUUUUUUUAAUUUAUUGGCAGAUUUUGAGUUUGAAGACAAUGGGGGAAAGCCUUUGGAUUCUUCUUCGUCUCUCAGCAAAUGCCCACUCCAUCUUUGCAGAAUCUUAAGAUCUCAACUUGUAAUUUUGUUCACACCUGGGGUUUGAUUUAUUUCAUCUUCUUUUUAAUUGUUUGUGGCAGCUUUACCUACGUUGUUAUAAUAUAAUUAAGGCUAUUAAAAAACACUGGAG
rnacentral:lncRNA from 1 species